rnacentral:rRNA from 1 species
UACGUAGGGGGCAAGCGUUGUCCGGAUUUAUUGGGCGUAAAGCGUGCGCAGGCGGUGAUGUAAGACAGAUGUGAAAUCCCCGGGCUCAACCUGGGAACUGCAUUUGUGACUGCAUCGCUGGAGUGCGGCAGAGGGGGAUGGAAUUCCGCGUGUAGCAGUGAAAUGCGUAGAUAUGCGGAGGAACACCGAUGGCGAAGGCAGGUCUCUGGGCUGACACUGACGCUCAUGCACGAAAGCGUGGGGAGCAAACAGG